rnacentral:rRNA from 1 species
ACUCCUGCGGGAGGCAGCAGUGGGGAAUAUUGGACAAUGGGCGCAAGCCUGAUCCAGCCAUGCCGCGUGAGUGAUGAAGGCCCUAGGGUUGUAAAGCUCUUUCACCGGUGAAGAUAAUGACGGUAACCGGAGAAGAAGCCCCGGCUAACUUCGUGCCAGCAGCCGCGGUAAUACGAAGGGGGCUAGCGUUGUUCGGAUUUACUGGGCGUAAAGCGCACGUAGGCGGACUAUUAAGUCAGGGGUGAAAUCCCGGGGCUCAACCCCGGAACUGCCUUUGAUACUGGUAGUCUUGAGUUCGAGAGAGGUGAGUGGAAUUCCGAGUGUAGAGGUGAAAUUCGUAUAUAUUCGGAGGAACACCAGUGGCGAAGGCGGCUCACUGGCUCGAUACUGACGCUGAGGUGCGAAAGCGUGGGGAGCAAACAGGAUUAGAUACCCCUGUAGUCCCAUG